ACAUACCUCUGGAGAGCGCUGAAAAGCCACCAAAGGGGAAUACUCCACGCCACAAGGCGGUGGUAAACUCUCAGGUAAAAGGACAGAGGAAA
rnacentral:ncRNA from 1 species